AUUGAACGCUGGCGGCAGGCUUAACACAUGCAAGUCGAGCGAGCGGCGGACGGGUGAGUAAGGUCUGGGAAACUGCCUGAUGGAGGGGGAUAACUACUGGAAACGGUAGCUAAUACCGCAUACCAUCAGCUGGGCCGAGUUGGGAUUAGCUAGUAGGAGGGGUAAUGGCUUACCUAGGCGGCGAUCCCUAGCUGGUCUGAGAGGAUGACCAGCCACACUGGAACUGAGACACGGUCCAGACUCCUACGGGAGGCAGCAGUGGGGAAUAUUGCACAAUGGGCGAAAGCCUGAUGCAGCCAUGCCGCGUGUGUGAAGAAGGCCUUCGGGUUGUAAAGCACUUUCAGCGAGGAGGCGUUACUCGCAGAAUAAGCACCGGCUAACUCCGUGCCAGCAGCCGCGGUAAUUC
rnacentral:rRNA from 1 species